rnacentral:rRNA from 1 species
GUACAUCCAGAGAAUUUAGCAGAGAUGCUUUAGUGCCUUCGGGAACUCUGAGACAGGUGCUGCAUGGCUGUCGUCAGCUCGUGUUGUGAAAUGUUGGGUUAAGUCCCGCAACGAGCGCAACCCUUAUCCUUUGUUGCCAGCACGUAAUGGUGGGAACUCAAAGGAGACUGCCGGUGAUAAACCGGAGGAAGGUGGGGAUGACGUCAAGUCAUCAUGGCCCUUACGAGUAGGGCUACACACGUGCUACAAUGGCGCAUACAAAGAGAAGCGACCUCGCGAGAGCAAGCGGACCUCAUAAAGUGCGUCGUAGUCCGGAUUGGAGUCUGCAACUCGACUCCAUGAAGUCGGAAUCGCUAGUAAUCGUAAAUCAGAAUGUUACGGUGAAUACGUUCCCGGGCCUUGUACACACCGCCCGUCACACCAUGGGAGUGGGUUGCAAAAGAAGUAGAUAGCUUAACCUUCGGGAGGGCGUUUACCACUUUGUGAUUCAUGACUGGGGUGAAGUCGUAACAAGGUAGGCGUAGUGCU